CGGGGGAGGCCGGAUCCUGGGCUGUGUCCCGGCGCCCUGUGCUCCGGAGCCUGCACUGGUGGAUUCGCGCUCCCGGGCCGCGCAACCCCCU
rfam:Canis lupus familiaris chromosome 30, whole genome shotgun sequence.